rnacentral:lncRNA from 1 species
AAACUUUUAGCUCUCUGUUCACUCCAGUUGGACCCAACGCCGAUGCCGAAUUGAUCCUUUGAGCAGGUGCUGCUGUCAUGUCCACAGGUUCAGAAUAGGUGUCAAACGGCAUGUCUUCUCUCACAGCAGAAGUACACGGAGACGAUCCCAAGGAUGACCACAUAGCAAACAUCUGUUGUGCAGCUGAGGGGUCAUUCAGCAUCGAGAAUAUCUGAUCAGCAACUGAAGGGCUGCAG